AUUGAACGCUGGCGGCAGGCCUAACACAUGCAAGUCGAGCGGAUGAGUGGAGCUUGCUCCAUGAUUCAGCGGCGGACGGGUGAGUAAUGCCUAGGAAUCUGCCUGGUAGUGGGGGACAACGUUUCGAAAGGAACGCUAAUACCGCAUACGUCCUACGGGAGAAAGUGGGGGAUCCUCGGACCUUAAGCUACCAGAUGAGCCUAGGUCGGAUUAGCUAGUUGGUGAGGUAAAGGCUCACCAAGGCGACGAUCCGUAACUGGUCUGAGAGGAUGAUCAGUCACACUGGAACUGAGACACGGUCCAGACUCCUACGGGAGGCAGCAGUGGGGAAUAUUGGACAAUGGGCGAAAGCCUGAUCCAGCCAUGCCGCGUGUGUGAAGAAGGUCUUCGGAUUGUAAAGCACUUUAAGUUGGGAGGAAGGGCAGUAAGUUAAUACCUUGCUGUUUUGACGUUACCAACAGAAUAAGCACCGGCUAACUUCGUGCCAGCAGCCGCAGUAAUAC
rnacentral:rRNA from 1 species